AUUGAACGCUGGCGGCAGGCCUAACACAUGCAAGUCGAGCGGAUGAAGGGAGCUUGCUCCUGGAUUCAGCGGCGGACGGGUGAGUAAUGCCUAGGAAUCUGCCUGGUAGUGGGGGAUAACGUCCGGAAACGGGCGCUAAUACCGCAUACGUCCUGAGGGAGAAAGUGGGGGAUCUUCGGACCUCACGCUGUCAGAUGAGCCUAGGUCGGAUUAGCUAGUUGGUGGGGUAAAGGCCUACCAAGGCGACGAUCCGUAACUGGUCUGAGAGGAUGAUCGGUCACACUGGAACUGAGACACGGUCCAGACUCCUACGGGAGGCAGCAGUGGGGAAUAUUGGACAAUGGGCGAAAGCCUGAUCCAGCCAUGCCGCGUGUGUGAAGAAGGUCUUCGGAUUGUAAAGCACUUUAAGUUGGGAGGAAGGGCAGUAAGUUAAUACCUUGCUGUUUUGACGUUACCAACAGAAUAAGCACCGGCUAACUUCGUG
rnacentral:rRNA from 1 species